CAAUAAAUGAUGAUAGACUGUAAAUCUAUUUUAGAAACUACAAUAAACCUCAACC
rnacentral:tRNA from 1 species